UUCUGGCUCAGAACGAACGCUGGUGGCGUGUCUUAUACAUGCAAGUCGAGCGAGGCAGCAAUGCCGAGCGGCGAACGGGUGAGUAACGCGUAAGCAAUCUGCCCCAUAUCAGGAAAUACCCGUGCCAACGCGCGGUUAAUGUCCAGGAGAGUGGCCCCCUGCAUGGGGGGUUGACUAGAGAUUCAUCGGUAUGGGAUGAGCUGCGUCCGAUUAGCUAGUUGGCGGGCAACGGCCCACCAAGGCGACGAUCGGUAGCCGGCCUGAGAGGGUGAUCGGCCACAUUGGGACUGAGAUACGGCCCAGACUCCUACGGGGAGGCAGCAGUAGGGAAUAUUGCACAAUGGGGGAAACCCUGAUGCAGCAACGCCAACCGUGUGGGAAGAAGCAUUUCGGUGUGUAAACCACUGUCAUGAGGGAAUAAGGCCCGUUUUCGGACGGGAUUGAAUGUACCUUGAGAGGAAGCACCGGCAAACUUCGUGCCAGCCGCGGC
rnacentral:rRNA from 1 species